AGUAUCUGCAGACCUCAGAAACAGGAUUGUGUCAAGACAUAGAUCUAGAGAUGGGUAUGAAAACAUUUAUGCAGCUUUAUAGGUCCCAAAGACCACAGUGGCCACCAGAAUGAUUAUGAUGACGAAUCAUUCGUAAAUGGAAGAAGUUUAGAAUCACCCAGACUCUUCCUAGAUCUGGCCGCCCGGCCAAACCGAGCAAUAGGGGAAGACGGGCCUUGGCCAGGGAGGUGUGCAGGAACACGAAGGAGUUCCCUCUGCUUACCUGGAUCUGAGAGAGGUGUUUAACAAGUUCUGUGCCACAUCUCUUCCUCCUCAUCAACCACAUGACUGUGUCUUUGACUUUCUUCCCGGGCUUCUCCUGCCAAAGGGAUUUUUCUGUGUUGAUAAUAAGGUCAAGACUAUGCACCCCUGUAUCGACUUCCGGGGUCUCAAUGAUGUCACUAUCAAAAAGUAGUGUGAACCCUGCAACAGUGGCCAUCAAGUUGGCGCAGGAGGAAUUGAGGGGCCAAACAGGCUGUUCCUGGCAUGGACUGAUCACAGCAACCUGGAGUACAUCAGGACUACCAAGAGAUUGAACCCUGUCAAGCCAGGAGAGGAGCGUGCAGCCAAAAAUCCAAGCACUGGCAGUCACAGCGGGCUGAUGCGGAUGCUCUGGGUCUAACCUAUGUAAUGGCAGCAACAGACAGUUUGACGAACGGGAACGGAAGAUCCGCUUGUCUCCCAGCCACCACACACUCUACUCUUGGCUAACCAUCCUCCCGCUGAUGGUGAGGACGAGGCGAACCGUUUGGAUUUAAUCAAAACAAACUAUCAAAACGUGCAGGGAUCAUGGAUGUAAUGUUGACAAGCCCUGAGUCUGCUGUAGUCAGGCAGCUCUACUUCUUCUUACUGUGUAUUGAGAGCAGACUAGAGGAACAAGUGGUAUACAAUACGUUAGCAUGCUAAUUUCAGUAAUAUUAUGACAUAACGUUAACACUGUUACCUCUAAACAUUCUGUUGAUAAUGUUGGUU